rnacentral:rRNA from 1 species
GCCAAGUGCUGGCCAGCAGGCGCGGUGUAUGGGGGGGGGGAGGGGUUGUCCGGGAUUAGUGGGCGUAAAGGGCUCGUAGGCGGCGUGUCACGUCGGCUGGGAAAGCCUGGGGCUCAACUCCGGGCCUGCAGCCGAUACGGGCAAGCUAGAGUUCGGUAGGGGAGACUGGAAUUCCUGGUGUAGCGGUGAAAUGCGCAGAUAUCAGGAGGAACACCGGUGGCGAAGGCGGGUCUCUGGGCCGAAACUGACGCUGAGGAGCGAAAGCGUGGGGAGCGAACAGGAUUAGAUACCCUUGUAGUC